GGGUAGCCUAGUGGUUAGAGUGUAGAGGCGGCAGGGUAGCCUAGUGGUUAGAGUGUAGAGGCGGCAGGGUAGCCUAGUGGUUAGAGUGUAGAGGCGGCAGGGUAGCCUAGUGGUUAGAGUGUAGAGGCGGCAGGGUAGCCUAGUGGUUAGAGUGUAGAGGUGGCAGGGUAGCCUAGUGGUUAGAGUGUAGAGGUGGCAGGGUAGCCUAGUGGUUAGAGUGUAGAGGUGGCAGGGUAGCCUAGUGGUUAGAGUGUAGAGGUGGCAGGGUAGCCUAGUGGUUAGAGUGUAGAGGUGGCAGGGUAGCCUAGUGGUUAGAGUGGAGAGGUGGCAGGGUAGCCUAGUGGUUAGAGUGGAGAGGCGGCAGGGUAGCCUAGUGGUUAGAGUGUAGAGGUGGCAGGGUAGCCUAGUGGUUAGAGUGGAGGGGCGGCAGGGUAGCCUAGUGGUUAGAGUGUAGAGGUGGCAGGGUAGCCUAGUGGUUAGAGUGUAGAGGUGGCAGGGUAGCCUAGUGGUUAGAGUGUAGGGGCGGCAGGGUAGCCUAGUGGUUAGAGUGUAGAGGCGGCAGGGUAGCCUAGUGGUUAGAGUGUAGAGGCGGCAGGGUAGCCUAGUGGUUAGAGUGUAGAGGCGGCAGGGUAGCCUAGUGGUUAGAGUGUAGAGGCGGCAGGGUAGCCUAGUGGUUAGAGUGUAGAGGCGGCAGGGUAGCCUAGUGGUUAGAGUGUAGAGGCGGCAGGGUAGCCUAGUGGUUAGAGUGUAGAGGCGGCAGGGUAGCCUAGUGGUUAGAGUGUAGAGGCGGCAGGGUAGCCUAGUGGUUAGAGUGUAGAGGCGGCAGGGUAGCCUAGUGGUUAGAGCGUUGGACUAGUAACCGGAAGGUUGCGAGUUCAAAUCCCCGAGCUGACAAGGUACAAAUCUGUCGUUCUGCCCCUGAACAGGCAGUUAACCCACUGUUCCCAGGCCGUCAUUGAAAAUAAUAAUGUGUUCUUAACUGACUUGCCUGGUUAAAUAAAGGUAAAAUAAAAAAAAUAAAAAAAA